GGGGAGAAGCCCAGGCUGGGGACCACAAAAUAUGAAUGAGUCCUUCUUUCUCUCACCUCUUCCCAUAGAGGUAAUAGACCUGAAACUGAAAUUUUAGUUUAGUCACAUUAUAAAUUAAUUAGACUUUUGUGGGCUGGUCUAGCAGUAUACCAUCAAGUAUGUUUGUAAGUAUGAAAACCAUUGAAAUGGAAAUUAAAAUAGUCAUGUGUUCAGUUUUCAUAUAGAAAUGAGUAAUUCCCAAAGGACGAUUGAGCACUGUACAUUUUUUUCUGAGUUGGCCUGCAUUAGCCCUAUGGCAGCGUCCUUGGUAAGGUUGUUCUACAAAAGAUAAAUAUAAACUGAACCAAAAUGGACACCUGCUCUCCACACAUGGGGAAUGAAUUUAUUUAAUUUCCAUCAUGCCAUCAGCUUGAAUAUGAAGGCAAACUCCUUGAGGGUGGAGAGUUUUGUUUGUUUGAUUACUGUAAUAUCCCCUAAAUCUAAAAACAUUCUG
rnacentral:lncRNA from 1 species